CCUACGGGGGGCAGCAGUGAGGAAUAUUGGUCAAUGGACGAGAGUCUGAACCAGCCAAGUAGCGUGAAGGAUGACUGCCCUAUGGGUUGUAAACUUCUUUUAUAUGGGAAUAAAACGUUCCACGUGUGGGAUUUUGUAUGUACCCUAUGAAUAAGGAUCGGCUAACUCCGUGCCAGCAGCCGCGGUAAUACGGAGGAUCCGAGCGUUAUCCGGAUUUAUUGGGUUUAAAGGGAGCGUAGGUGGAUUGUUAAGUCAGUUGUGAAAGUUUGCGGCUCAACCGUAAAAUUGCAGUUGAAACUGGCAGUCUUGAGUACAGUAGAGGUGGGCGGAAUUCGUGGUGUAGCGGUGAAAUGCUUAGAUAUCACGAAGAACUCCGAUUGCGAAGGCAGUUCACUGGACUGCAACUGACACUGAGGCUCGAAAGUGUGGGUAUCAAACAGGAUUAGAUACCCGUGUAGUC
rnacentral:rRNA from 1 species